UUCUGAGCACCUGAGGCUGGUGUGCUGCUGCAAGCUGCAGUUUUCUUCUGCUAUCAGCCUCAGGGAAAUCUGGCCAUCUCUGAAGAAAGUAUGAGCUGGAGCACAGCGCUGGGACUCUCUGUGAAGUAAACUAUGAGAAUCACCAGCCAGGGAAGUCCUUUGGGAUCUAUCAAGACUUCCUAACAGUGUGACAACACUUUAAAGUCGAUAUUGGAGAUUUAAUUCCAGUGACUCCUGAGAGCUUGUCUUUCAGGCAUUUUCCUCAUGUAAAUGCCCAGAUUGAAAGCUUUGUUUCAGGAAUAUGGAUGCUGCCCAAAUGUAUCCGCAUGGUUCCAAUUAAGGGGAGGAAUGUUUAAUGUAAAACUCAACUUGAUGAAAAUAACUGAAGUUUCUGACAAACCAAUAAAUUGGAGUCUAGAAAGCUCUGCGUACACAGUACAGUCAGGGAGGGGCAACACCCGCUGGGUCAUCAAUUUUGGUGAAGACUUCCUGUUCGUUUAUACUAAAAUAAUACUAGGUCAGUCCAUAAACCAGAUGGUAUUUCUUAUUGCACGGGGACAGCAGAGAGAAGAUAAUGCAGAAAGAAAACAGACUGUGUUUGUACUUUCUAUUGUUGAAAUACUAUCAACAAGGUAGGGCCUGCUUGGCUACAGGAAGUGCAGUGGGAAGUGCAAGGACAGAAGAUCCUGUGACAUUGAACCGUACAAAGCCAACAUAAAAAAUCAUCAACAAUAUCCUUUCCUCCAGUGAUGAGCUGGAAAUAAGUUUCUGCACU
rnacentral:lncRNA from 1 species